CGCAUUUUUUUACAACAGUAUUGACGACUUGUUUACAUCGCACUAAACACUAAAGGUUUCACUUACAACAGCAUACUAUAGUAAUAGUGGGAAGAAAUAGUUGACAUUAAAACAAAUCUACUGAACAAACAAACGGUAAGAUGAACGACGCUGACAUGCAGACGAGGCAAGAGGCGUCUCUCUCAAGUCUCCCAGUAGAAACACUUGAACAUAUAUUUAGCUUCCUGCACAGAGAUGAUCUUCUACAGGCCAUGUCUGUGUGCACAACCUGGAAGUCUUUAAUCUCUAGCAGUCCAAAUCUGUGGUGUAGCCAAGCAUUCACUUUUGAUUGUGCUCUUCACUAUUCCAAAAAGAACAAAGUUGACAUGUUGUUUUGUGCACAAACCUUUGGGCCUCGUUUUCAAAAUCUUUCAGUUAAGUGCCAACAUUCUGUCCUGCAUGAAUGCAGUAGACCGGCUGAUCAGUUUAAACUACUCCUUACCGGUUUUUUCGCGUCUUCACUGACUUCCUUCAAAGUCUUCGACCUUCGAAUGUACAACACCAGUAGGAUAGUCGUCAAACAAAUAUGUAACAAAUUGACUCAAAUGUUCGCUGGGGACUGUCAUCUAAAGGUCUUUGAGAUGCCCAUCGCCCACUGGUCAAACUUAGAGGGUCAGAAGGUCUUGGACGCUGUGUUUCAAAAUUCAAAAAACACUCUAGAAACACUGAGUAUUCCUGAAUACUUUAUCAGUGAGACUGGCAUACCUGUGGACAUGGAUUGGUUUGCAAAUGGGCUGACGUCAUUAACAAGGUUAACCAAACUUUCUAUCACUCUAUUCUAUCUUACCGAUGAACUUAUUGUCUCCCUUGCUCACUCCAGAAGAGGUGAACUGGCACAUCUAACUUUGUGGACAAACUGUGUAUUUCCGAUAUCUCCAUUUAUACAACAGGAUAGCUGGAUACAUCUGACACAAGCAUGUCCAAAUAUGAAAGUGGAAUUCAGGAUCGUCGGUUUUGUUUCCGAACCACAUUUGUCACUUCCCCCGUUAUUUGAUUCAGUACUUUCAGUCAGCAAAAUAAAAAUACUAUUAAGUCAGAAAUGUUGCCCGCAUCCGUGUCCUUUACAAAAUAUGGAUAUCGUUCUGGACCACAUCAGAAAUCAUUACUGUAUUCCUCAAUGUGUUCCUAGUUCUUUGAAAUACUCAUUUACGUCUGAGCUCUCUGAGAGCAGGGCAAGAAGAGCCGCAUCAUCAGCGAAUUUUGUGAAGGAGCAACAAGAACUAUCGGAUUGAAAAUCAUUGGUGUACAAAAUGAACCACAAUGGCGAUGUUACAGCCCCCUGGGGCGCCCCUGUGUUAACUAUGCGUUCAUUAGAUAUAACAUUGUUUACCCUAACCCUCUGAGCUCUCUGGGUCAAAAAUUCGUUAGCCCAUAGUAUUAUGUAUGGACUAAUCUGCAACGCUUUCAUCUUUUCAAUGAGUAAAUGAAGUUGUAUAGUGUUAAAAGCUGAUGAGAAAUCCAUAAAGAGCAAUCUUACAUAAGUGUUCGGUUAACACUCAAGAGUUUCACUCUAGCAGUUCUCAACAUUAGGAGAACAAACUUUGACCAGUCUUUGAUCAAGUUAAUUAGGGAUUGUCCACGUCUGAUCAAUGUUAAGAUUCUAGCAGCCUACGACUCUGGCGAUACAGCAGAAACAAUUGAGAAGAUUGUCACCGAGCGCCAGCCACUUUUCACUAGCAAAGGUGGACACACUAAAAAAGUUUGCAUUGACAGCCAGGCUAUGGACAAAGCCUGUCAAACCGAGUACCUCCUGAUUUCAAAAAGCGUCUCAACAAUAAGCUGAACACGUGAAUUUAUAGUUUAUCUGCAAAUGUAACAGCAAACGCUCAAAGUAAACGGGCAGUGGCGUUCCUGGUGGGUGUGGAGGGGGUACACUUGUACGCAGUCAUUUUAUGAAAUAUAAAAUAAAUGACAGUAGCAAGAU